UACGUAGGGUGCAAGCGUUGUCCGGAAUUAUUGGGCGUAAAGAGCUCGUAGGCGGUCUGUCGCGUCGGCUGUGAAAACUCGGGGCUCAACUCCGAGCUUGCAGUCGAUACGGGCAGGCUAGAGUUCGGCAGGGGAGACUGGAAUUCCUGGUGUAGCGGUGAAAUGCGUAGAUAUCAGGAGGAACACCUGUGGCGAAAGCGGCGCACUGGACCACAACUGACGCUGAGGCGCGAAAGCUAGAGGAGCAAACAGG
rnacentral:rRNA from 1 species